ACGAAGGGUGCUAGCGUUGUUCGGAAUCAUUGGGCGUAAAGGGUGCGUAGGCGGUUUAGUAAGUCAGUUGUGAAAGCCCCAGGCUCAACCUGGGAACUGCAAUUGAAACUGCUCGACUAGAAUUUGGUGGGGGAUAAUAGAAUUCCUAGUGUAGGGGUGAAAUCCGUAGAUAUUAGGAGGAAUACCAGAGGCGAAGGCGAUUAUCUAUACCAAUAUUGACGCUGAGGCACGAAAGCGUGGGGAGCAAACAGG
rnacentral:rRNA from 1 species